UACGAGUGCCCCAAGCGUUAUCCGGAAUUAUUGGGCGUAAAGCGUGCGCAGGCGUCUUGUUAAGUUUCUUGUUAAAGCCCUCGGCUCAACCGAGGAAUUGCGGGGAAAACUGGCAGGAUAGAGUGGGUGAGAGGCUGAUGGAACUCAUGGUGUAGGGGUGAUAUCCGUUGAUAUCAUGAGGAACGCCGAAAGCGAAGGCAGUCGGCUAGCACCUAACUGACGCCGAGGCACGAAAGCGUGGGGAGCAAACGGG
rnacentral:rRNA from 1 species